rnacentral:rRNA from 1 species
CAAUAGCGUAUAUUAAAGUUGUUGCAGUUAGAACGCUCGUAGUCGGAUUUCGGGGCGUUCCGACCGGUCUGCCGAUGGGUAUGCACUGGCCGGAGUGUCCUUUUUGCCGGAGACCGUGCCUACUCUUAACUGAGCGGGGGCGGGAGACGGCACUUUUACUUUGAAAAAAUCAGAGUGUUUCAAGCAGGCAGCUCGCUCUUGCAUGGAUUAGCAUGGGAUAAUGAAAUAGGACUUUGGUGCUAUUUUGUUGGUUUCGAACACCGAAGUAAUGAUGAGAAGGGACAGUCAGGGGCACUCGUAUUCCGCAGAGAGAGGUGAAAUUCUCAGACCCGCGGAAGACGAACCACUGCGAAAGCAUUUGCCGGGGAUGUUUNCACUGA